AUUGAACGCUGGCGGCAGGCCUAACACAUGCAAGUCGAGCGAGCGGCGGACGGGUGAGUAAUGUAUGGGGACUGCCCGAUAGAGGGGGAUAACUACUGGAAACGGUGGCUAAUACCGCAUACUAUCGGAUAACCCAUAUGGGAUUAGCGAGUAGGUGGGGUAAAGGCUUACCUAGGCGACGAUCUCUAGCUGGUCUGAGAGGAUGAUGGGCCACACUGGAACUGAGACACGGCCCAGACUCCUACGGAGGCAGCAGUGGGGAAUAUUGCACAAUGGGCGCAAGCCUGACGCAGCCAUGCCGCGUGUGUGAAGAAGGCCUUAGGGUUGUAAAGUACUUUCAGCGGGGAGGCGUUACCCGCACAGAAAGCACCGGCUAACUCCGUGCCAGCAGCCGCGGUAAUAC
rnacentral:rRNA from 1 species